rnacentral:tRNA from 1 species
GGCCCUGCGGUGCAAGAGCACGCCGGAUUGCAAACCCGGAGGCGUUGGUUAAUACCGGCCGGGGCUU